rnacentral:rRNA from 1 species
AAUCAACGCUGGCGGCGUGCCUCAGACAUGCAAGUCGAACGAUUAAACUUUCCUUCGGGAAAGAUAUAAAGUGGCGCACGGGUGAGUAACACGUAAGUAAUCUACCUUCGAGUGGGGAAUAACGUCCGGAAACGGACGCUAAUACCGCAUAAUGCAGCGGCACCUAAUGGUGACAGUUGUUAAAGGAGCAAUUCGCUUGAAGAGGAGCUUGCGGCAGAUUAGCUAGUUGGAAGGUAACGGCUUACCAAGGCUACGAUCUGUAGCUGGUCUGAGAGGAUGAUCAGCCACACUGGGACUGAGACACGGCCCAGACUCCUACGGGAGGCAGCAGUUAGGAAUCUUGGACAAUGGGCGCAAGCCUGAUCCAGCCAUGCCGCGUGAGUGAUGAAGG